AAGGACGGGAGCGGUGGGAAGAGCGAGGGUGUAGAGAGGGAAGUUAGGGCUUUCGCUUUCUCCCCCCACUCCAGCGGCGGCGUUCGGUCCUCUGGGUGGAAUGUGCUCGCAGCAGCAGUGACGGCGGCCACAGCACGGGAGGCACCCGAGCCAUACACCCUGCAGCUGGAGAGAAAAGGAUGGCCGAGGUGGGAGAGACUAGAGUGAACCAGCAGGAGGAAGUCCCAGGGCCGCGAAGCUACGACGGAGAUCCGUCCUGGAAAAGCCUUCUCCACCCUGGGCACUUUAAGCGGCGGUGGCGGCAAACGGCAGGAGGUUGCAGACCCGACAGCGAGACUCCCUCAUUCCAGUCUUGCUCUGCCCUCCGGAGAUGACAAGUGAGAAAGAAGUGUCCGGCCGGGCCAUCCCCUUCAGAGAAGCAACCACUUCACAAGAAGAUUCUGAAGUUGGCCAUUUUUGAUCCCAGAACAGUUUCUCAUAGAUUAGAAAUAUUGGAGUCUACACAAAAAUCGAUAUUCAUUUACAAGAUCAUCACUAAACUUAUCUUGCAUAACGUCUCUGCCAGCCACAUUAACUGCCUGCAGAAAAGUUUGUUAUGACUGCCUGGUUUUGUAAAGUCCAGACAACUUUACACUAAGCUGAAUAAUGUUCAUUUACUCAAAAGCUAGUCUAAAAUUGUAGAGUUAAUGAACACUAAACCAAAGUUAGUGCUUUAACUGAAAGAUAAUUUACUGUACCCUUUGGAGUCCAGUCCGGUACCAUCAAGAUCUGGGAAAAUACAACUGUUACCAAGAAUAACUGUAAAAUGUGCUGGGAAUGCAAUGUCCUGAGAUAAGGAAGAACUGCCUGAAACAGCCUGGAUCUUAUUCCUGUACUUCCUAGGGAAUGUAACAUCUCAAGUUAAAGAGGAACUGCCCGGAACAGCCCGGGGAUUGUUCCUCUCUCCUGAGAAGGAAGAUUACCUCCAAAGCUCAUCCACUGAGUCACACUGCCCCUGUGGUGGAGGGCGGGCUGCCUUUCCAGGUUCCUCAGCUGUGGUGUAACUGAAGCAGGCACAAUCAAGACUCCAUCUGCUCGAGGCAGCUUUCUCGAACCUUGGGGAACCUACUCACAAUGGAUCACAGGCUUCUUUUGUUUUGUUUCUUGCUGCCUAUCUUGGGAAGCAAAAAUCAGCUGAGUGAAGAUGAGGAAGAAGGUGUUAAAGGUUUGAAGAAAAAAGGAAAAGGAUAUACUAAUCUAAGAGGACAAGCAAUACAUUCCUCCUUGCUCCAGAAUGCAACAUACAUGUAUCCUUUUCUGUACUAUUUUUUAUUAAGAAUUCAUACUUAAUUCCACUGACUGCCACUCAAUUUUAAUGUACAGUAGGGAAUUCCUGUACUAUGUAUUAUGAAUCCAUUCCUUUGAAUUUCAUUUAUAAUACUUCAUGACUGACACCUGGCUUUCCACCAAGACUCAAUUUUCAUAGCAAGCCUCAUCAUCAUAAGCCCCCAAAUUAACAGGAUGAGGAGGAAGAAUUGGCAGGCUAAAGAAGAUGAUUAUAUCAAUUAAUGCAGAAAAAGCAUUUGAUAAAAUCCAAUAUUCAUUUGUAAUUAAAAACUCUCAGCAAGUUAGGGAUAGGAAUUACUUCAACUUAAUGAAGAGUGUCUUUAAAAACCUUAUUUUCAUCAGUUAUAACAAAUGUACCACUCUGGUGGUGAAUGUUGCUAAGGAGGGAAGCUAUACAUGUGUGGGGAAAGGAGAUGUGUGAGCAAUUUCUGUACCUUCUACUCAAUCUUCUGUG
ensembl:lncRNA TRHDE-AS1 TRHDE antisense RNA 1